GCCUUGGACGGUCUAGGUGGUCCUAGACACUGGACUUCAGAUCCAGUCAAUCCACACGGAUUGGGGGUUCGAUUCCCCUCCGAGGCC
rnacentral:tRNA from 1 species